AGCAUAUGUGUUUCUACCAUGUCUAGGUGUAGAAUAGAGCUAAAGGGGCUUGGAGAAGUUAAAACCUAAGCAUGUCAAGCAAUCGGUGGCAGAAAAUGAGUCCAAAUCCUGAUGCCAGAUAAUUUUGAAUGACUGCUGUGUGCUAGGCACAAUGCUAGACACUGAAGCUUGUAUUUGUGGCAUUCUGGCAAGAUAAGCAUUAAGGAGACACAAGGCUGCCCAAGAUUCCUGGCAAGGAGGGGAAGAAUUCAAAGUGGGAUCUCUCGCCUUCUCUUUCUCAUCAGACUGCAAGCUCCAAACCCCUACCUAUAGCAACUCUCCAUAGGACCUUUUCCUUGGAAUGAAAUUCUUAUGAAUGGGGAAUAAGGCUUUUCAACACUUUUUGUAAAGCCCCGGGGAACUGUGUCUGAGCUGGACCUAGAGCAAGGCUGUAAUAUCCCUUGAUGAGAAGGAUCUGAUCCUGAGCAGCAGGAUACAAAUCUGGGGACCUAAACCAGGCUCUUGGACCCUGUGUUCAGGAACCCCAGAGAAGCAUUACAACUACUACAGAGGUCCUGAAAACUGGCAUGG